CAGCCGCCGCGGGAAUACGCAGGUGGCAAGCGUUGUCCGGAAUUAUUGGGCGUAAAGGGCUCGCAGGCGGCUUCUUAAGUCUGAUGUGAAAGCCCCCGGCUCAACCGGGGAGGGUCAUUGGAAACUGGGAAACUUGAGUGCAGAAGAGGAGAGUGGAAUUCCACGUGUAGCGGUGAAAUGCGUAGAGAUGUGGAGGAACACCAGUGGCGAAGGCGACUCUCUGGUCUGUAACUGACGCUGAGGAGCGAAAGCGUGGGGAGCGAACAGGAUUAGAUACCCGAGUAGUCCCUGUCUCUUAUAC
rnacentral:rRNA from 1 species